UCGAGAAUCUUUAGCAAUGCCCGAAAGGGUGACUAUGCGACGCCGCGUGCAGGAUGAAGGCCUUCGGGUUGUAAACUGCUGUCAGGGAGGAAGAAACCACCGGUGUUAACAGCAUCGGUGCUGACAUCACUCCCAAAGGAAGCCACGGCUAACUCUGUGCCAGCAGCCGCGGUAAGACAGAGGUGGCAAGCGUUGUUCGGAUUUAUUGGGUGUAAAGGGUCCGUAGGCGGUCUAGCAAGUCUGGUGUGAAAUCCCAUGGCUCAACCGUGGAACUGCAUUGGAAACUGCUUGACUUGAGUAUCGUAGAGGCAAAGGGAAUUCCCGGUGUAAGGGUGAAAUCUGUAGAUAUCGGGAGGAACACCAGUGGCGAAAGCGCUUUGCUGGACGAUUACUGACGCUG
rnacentral:rRNA from 1 species